rnacentral:rRNA from 1 species
CCCUAGUAACUGCGAGUGAAGCGGGAAAAGCUCAAAUUUAAAAUCUGGCGGUCUUCGGCCGUCCGAGUUGUAAUCUAGAGAAGUGUUACCCGUGCUGGACCGUGUAUAAGUCUCCUGGAAUGGAGCGUCAUAGAGGGUGAGAAUCCCGUCUUUGACACGGACUACCAGUGCUUUUGUGGUGCGCUCUCAAAGAGUCGAGUUGUUUGGGAAUGCAGCUCAAAAUGGGUGGUAAAUUCCAUCUAAAGCUAAAUAUUGGCGAGAGACCGAUAGCGAACAAGUACCGUGAGGGAAAGAUGAAAAGAACUUUGGAAAGAGAGUUAAACAGUACGUGAAAUUGCUGAAAGGGAAACGCUUGAAGUCAGUCGCGUUGGCCGGAAAUCAACCUUGCUUCUGUUGGGUGUACUUUCUGGUUGACGGGCCAGCAUCAGUUUUGACCGGUGGAAAAAGGUCAAGGGAAUGUGGCAUCUUCGGAUGUGUUAUAGCCCUUGGUCGUAUACAUCGGUUGGGACUGAGGAAUUCAGCACGCCGAAAGGCCGGGUCUUUGACCACGUUCGUGCUUANGAUGCUGGCAUAAUGGCUUUAAUCGACCCGUCUUGAAACACGGACCAAGGAGUCUAACAUGCCUGCGA